UGGCGAACGGGUGAGUAACACGUGGGUGAUCUGCCUUGCACUCUGGGAUAAGCUUGGGAAACUGGGUCUAAUACCGGAUAGGACCACAUUUUGGAUGGUGUGGUGGAAAGUUUUUAGGUGUGGGAUGAGCUCGCGGCCUAUCAGCUUGUUGGUGGGGUAAUGGCCUACCAAGGCGUCGACGGGUAGCCGGCCUGAGAGGGUGUACGGCCACAUUGGGACUGAGAUACGGCCCAG
rnacentral:rRNA from 1 species